rnacentral:misc_RNA from 1 species
AACGCACAUUGCGCUCCUCGGUAUUCCGGGGAGCAUGCCUGUUCGAGCGUCAUUGCAUCUCUCAAGCGUAGCUUGGUAUUGGAUAUUUCGUCUGAAAGGACGUGUCCGAAAGUGAGUGGCGGUGAAGUAUGACUUCAAGCAUAGUAAAUUUUAUCCUGCUUUGGAAGCUCCUGCUUUGACUUGCCAAAACCCACCAUAAUUUCAAUGAUUGACCUCGGAUCAGGUAGGGAUACCCGCUGAACUUAA